GUAACUUGUAUACUUUCUUCUUGACAUAAACUAUGGUAUGUCCGUAGUUAUGCAGCACUUGCAAACAAAAGUGAAACUUUUCCAUCUAGUUCUUUUUGAAUUUGUGGGGUUGUCAAUAUGACUUACGAUAUGAUGCAACUUUUUGUGUCUUGAACGGCAGUAAGUGGCAUCUAUCUAUCUAUCUGGUGUGGAUAUUCAUAGGAAGAGUGAAUUAGAAUGUAGUGACACAAAAGUAAUUUUCACCUCAAUCUCAGUAAAUAAAGCAAAUCUGUCUUCUGUAGGUCAUACUUCUCCUGCUUUGUCUGCCUCAGAGAAUAAAAAUUGAAUUGUUCAAGUGAAAUUAGAACAUCAUGGCCUUGACCUGAACAGGAAUGAAAAAAGUAUCUCUGAGAGUUGAGCACAGGCAGGAAUUCAGCAGGUUUAGCACUAAGCCUUCUAUACGUAUAAGCUGUUGAUUGAUGCUCUACCUUCUAAUUACGUGGUAAGCCAAACACAUAAUGCGUGAUCCAGAAAUGGCUGACUUGGGGAAAUAACUACACUGAUGAUGAACAUCUGUUUUUGAUAUAAAAAUAUUGGGGCAUUUUUGGAAGGAAAAGCUUAUCUUUUGGCUUUUGAUACUCUGCACAAUUUCCGUUCCAUUCAUCAGACCAAUAAAUCUCUGCUAAUUUGCUCCGAAAUAAUGAAGCCGUAAUAAUGAGAAGCUUGACUACAGCAUAUGCUCUAUCAUUGAAAGGCAAGAAGAGUCCACAAAUGCUGUUUUUUUUUCAAAUAAUGAGGAGCCCUAUUCAGGCAGUCCCUGUAAGAAUGCUUAAGUUCCCAGCACCAGUGGAUAACACAGACCUGUCUCCUUUUCCUGGAAAGCAAGAGAUCAGACUGGGAUGCAGACAUAAAACUCCUCUACACCAGUGCUCUCCAGAAAGCAAUUUGGUUUUCUUUUAUUGCUCUACACAUUCCACAAGAACGUUGAGUUUGAACAGGCUUUUUGCUGUGUCUGCGCGUUGAUUUUGUAUUUAUUUUAAUAGUGUGCCUGGUGAUUUUUGCCUGAAUCUAACUAAUGCAUUUGUAAGGUGCUAGCUAGUGUAAUAAAUAAAUAGAUGGCAACCAGCAGAGUGUUGCUGUAAGAGAAGAGAUGAGGCUUGCUGUUUCUGCAAGCAGCUCUCAUUUGUUACUUCAGAGCAAAAAUUGAGCAUAGGAAUUAACAUAAAAGAUCAGUUCAGCCUUUGUGAUACCCUUGUAUUCUGCCUCCUUAAGCUCCUGUGACCCUGGGCACUUCAUACACAAUCCAAAGUGUCUGUGUUGGUGAUCAUGUGAUGUGAGUUUGGGUGUUUUUUGUUGUUUUACUUUGGUUUUGGUUUGUUCUCUUAACCUCAGCGACCAGGUUGACCAAUUACCUGGAAGGAAAAAGAUGUUUUGUGGCCCAUCAAUCUUCUGGAGAUUGUAGUAUUUUUUCCAGCAUACUUUUGGACGUUCUUGAGAACCACAAAAGGGAGAUCUGCUUUUAAUACCCUUGCUGGGGAGAGGAGUGGUAUUUUUUGCUUCUAAAAGCCUUUAUGCCGCUGGUUGUAAUUUGAAGCUUAAAAACAGCAGGCUUAGAAAUAUUUCAAAGCUCUCUAGAGGGCAGAGCCUGCUACUGGAGGCUUAUGGACAGAUUUUUGCUACCAGGUAUGAUAUCAAUCAAGAAUUCCAUUGAUUGCAGUGCUAUUACUCUGGCAUAACCAGGAGCAGAAUGUGACCCUCAGUUUAAUUUCUGAUACGGCUCCUGGAUUUAUUGGAGCUGUGCAUCUCUGCAGGACCUUUCCUGCCUUUGCUGCAGCGGCAGCUUGAUGUAAAUCAGAUUUCCUUGCAGCUGAAAAGAGUACUGAUUAUAUAUGAAGCUCUAACAACAUUUGCUGGAGUUCUAUGUUCCUGGGACCGGCUUAGGCAUUCAACCAGCUUAUCCUUCUGCCUGUGACCCGAAGUAAGAGAAAAGUGUUUUACAGUAGUAAUAAAGAGAUUACGUUAGAUGAAGUUAUUUUCAGUAGCUAUAUCAGGAAGAUUGAGAGUCAAUUAUUCUGGUCAGGUUCAUCUUUAGGACACAAGCAAAGAAGAGGGCUGAGACAUUUAUACUGUACUAGCAAAAAAAGAUUUAAAGAUACUGUGUUUGCACUGACUACUUGGGCCUUAGCACAGGGAAUAACUCUGGAAUAACUCUUGGGGAUGUCAGUGCUCAUAUUUUGGGAGCUGGAGAAUAUUGCUUCCAUCUCUUUUUGGGUGCUUCCUGACUUAUUUGUCUCUUACUCAGCAGAAAAAAAAAAAAGCAGGCUCUGUGGCCUUUGUCACGUGUCACAGUGAAUAUUUGGUAGGGAGAACAGCACUGAGGCUCCUGAUGGUAUUCCUGGGAUGUUUUGUAAACUUCUCUUCUGUUAUAAAAUCUGCUUUCAGAAAACUUUUCAGUGUUCUCUACUGAUCCCACAGAAAUACUGAUGUAUCUCUUAUCUCUCUUUUUUUUUUUUUCUGCAAAGGGAAAUGUUGCUUGAAGAGAUGCUAUAUGCAAUGGCAUGUCAUUCUGCUACCUAUUUUUAAAUAUUCACAUAGACCACAUGUAUUGGAAGGAAAGAUGUCUAUUCUGAGACAGCUGAAUGAGCAAAUUCCUUUUUAAAAGAAACUGAUGAUCACCUGCAGAUGGGGCUGUGCCAUUGGAAGCCAUUGUAAAUCAGAAGCUGUUUCGCUGAACUUCUUACUGGAGCUGUGCAGCACCAUUGCAGAUGAGGAGAUAAUUGUGCCUAAUACACAGUCUUGUUGGCUACCAGCAGCAAACUCAUAUUUCGAGAGUGUGGAGCCUUGCCUGGGGAUUUUUCUUCCCUAUCUUCACCACUGAGUCAUUUAGCUGGCUUUUGGGAUGGAGCUGUUCCUCUGCUCAAGACAAAUUAAAUUGAGUGUGAAUCCCACUCCUCUGUGGCUUACAGAAAACAAAAGGAGCAGGAUACGUAACUAUAAUGGUUUAAUGCUUGCCCUUUCUUGCUUGUCCUUUGUUUCCUCUGAAGACUUCCUCGUGCGUGUGGAAAAGAGACCGAGGCAGGCUCAAUUUUAUCACAGAAUCAUAGGCACUGGAAGGGACCUCUGAACAUCAUCUGCUAAAGUGCUACACUGAGGUGUCAUUUUGUACAAUAUGACGAGUAACUGAUACAAGUCGCUUGGGAUUUGGCGCUUAUGUGGUACCAUAACAUGUCAAUGCUAUAAGAUGUCUAAAGCCUUGUGAGCUUCAGGAGUGUUCAGGAUUUCAGGAUGACAAAUGGAAUGUCAGAUAUGACUUACUCUGAGACCUUAAAGGAUUCAUGUGGUAUAGCUCUUAACUGUACCUCAAGGUUCUGUAGGAUGUUACCUCUGAAGCUGGCCAAUUUUGAUGACCAAACAAACAUCUGAUUGCCUUUACAACUGGAGAAGUAGCUGAAGUCUAAAUUGAAGUAGUUCUUAAACUACUGUUGAUCAUUCAGUGAGGAAAGGCUAAUAAAUGUGUACAUAAAUAUGUAUAAGAGUUGAUCCCAGUAGUGGAAAUCAUGGUAAUAAUUAUGUAAUAAUAAGCUAGUAAUAAAGAUUAUGGCAAAGGAGUCUCAGCAACUUGAAACAAUACAAGCCAAUGCUUUGCUUCUCCUCACUUUGGCUCAUAUCUUAACAGGAACACGUCCCCAAACGUGUAGAGCUAAUGAAGACAAAAAAAGCUCAAUACUUGUAUAUAACAGUUUGAAAUGCAUGCAUUUAUAAGAGUAAAUGUAUAUUAAAGCAUGGAAAAGUCUCCCCAUCUUUUUCAUGAUUAAGUUUCAUUUGGAUUCAAUGUUCAUACCAUAAAAGUGAUAUUAAACUUGAGGAGAAGGUAUGGGUAUGGCCAUGAUGUUGUCACCUUUAUCUUUAAGUGUACUGAAAUAUCCUAAACCUGACAAAGCACAAAGUCUGGAGAAUUAUCUUAUGGUGAAAGAUGAAACAAAAUAACAUGUCCUCUGUCCUUCACUGUCAACAUGAUGACUUAUAAGCAUUCUUUUUCUCUGCAUUUUCCUCCUAUUAAAAUCAUCCUGUCUGAGCAAAACGGCCUGCGACAGAUGACAAAUAUGGGAUAUUUCAUGGACAAAAAUCACACUCUAAAUUGGAUAUGCUGUGAGAGUAUUGCAACCUGAUAUGCUGAAGCUUAACAGAAAUGCAAAAGACAUUCUUCACUCUGUCAGAUACUGUCUGCCACAUGACUUUCCAUGUAGUUUACUCCAUUAGGCGUAGGAUGAUUUUUCCUUGUUUUGACUCUUCUGGUUGAAAGGUUGGUUACUGUGACUUUAUGUGGAAGAUAACAGCUGCAGAAACUGACCAGUUAAAUAUAUGAUAGCAAAACAGAGGAUACUGUCAUAAACAUAAUACAAUAAGCACGAUAUAAUCUUCAUAGCUUUGCUGUUUCACUUGUUGAGAUUCUGGAGUUCUUCAGUGCAGAAAUUAGCUUCUUGCUUCUACAAAACCCAGGCUGCAAAAUCAUCUUUAUUUAGAAAUUCCAUCCUAUUGUGAAAUACGUUUAUUUAGCAAUGAGAAGGGAAAGUGAAGAGAAAAGGAAGGACCACAUUAAGACUUCAGAGGUAUAAAAAAUAAUCUGUGAGGAGGGAAGUAGUAAUCUAGUUUUUGUACUCCUGGUAGAUAGGACAGGAAGUGCUGAGCUUUAUGAUUUAUCAAAAAAGAUUGGUUUACACACUAGACCUAUCUGUGUGUGUGUGUGUGAGAGAGAGAGAGAGAGAGAGUGUUUAAUGGUAAGGUUUGUGAAGAAAGUGUUCCUGUGUCAGGAUUGUGGAGGAUGGAGUCAAUAAUUUCUUAAGGGCCCUUCCUGCUGUAUUGUUCUAUGAUCUUGUGCCAUGCAUUUUUCUUCAUGUGAAGUAACAUUUUGUUCGUUCGAUGAAUAGAUAGAAAUUCCUUCCCUGUGAAUCCAUUUCUAGUGUUUUUUAGUACGUUAAUUUGAUAGCCAUCUGCCAUUUUUUUUUUAAAUGAGCACUUUGACAAAUCUAUUAUCUCACCUCCUAAAGCAUUAAUUGGAAUCCCUUAGUUCUGAAGCCCUUUCUACGUAGUUGAAGAGUUAUUUAUGGUACCUUUUAGUUGUGAAUAAAUUCCAGGCAUCCAGAGGUGGGGCAUAUUUCUUUGCUAGUGAGUUCUUAUUUUCAUGUGAUAAAGGUCUCCAGUUCUCGAGUUCAUUUUCUCUGAAUGUGACUUUUUUUUUUGUCCAAGACUAUAUCUGAUGACCAGUGCUGUAUGGAUCGCAGCUCCGUUGGUCAGUAGUUUGUGUAAAUUUUCUUUCUUUUGUAUAUGAGGAAAAGGUUUUAUGUGUUAGAGGAAAUAAAUCCUGUUAUGUUGACAUGGUCUCUAUCCUCCAGUGAUUAUCUGCGCUUCAGAGGUUUGAGUAGGCUGUAAAGACUGCCUAACUGCCUUGCUCAAGGUCUUCUCAGAGGAAGGAAACUUCAGGCUUUAGAGUCCAUCCAGCUAUUCCAUGUCACUUGGUCUCAGGACUACUUGGAGCAUUGGUAGUGGGAAGUGCGAAAACAUAAGAAUAAUUUAGAGCAACUUCAAAUGUCUGAAUAGUGGAGAGGGUGCAUAAACCAUAACUUUUCUCCCUCUUGGGACUGACUUCAGCUCAGCUAAACCCAAAGUUUUGGGCUUCCGUGUUUAGGUGCAUUCUGUGUUUACUGUGUUUGAUUGCCAAAGCCCUGAUGAUUAGCAGUGACUGGGAUGUAAAAUCUAAUCCAUGAGGGAUUUCUGAAAACUGAGAUAAUGCACAUUAAGAUGACUGACUAUGGCCUGAUUAGUAACAAUACAGGGAAUACAGGGUCAGAUUGUUUUUCUUGUUGUUUUUUUUUUUCCCCCUGUUUUUUUUUUUGUUUGUUUGUUUGUUUUGUUUUUUGGUAGUAUGACUAGUAACCUAAGUGCAGGAUCUCAAACACACAAGCACAUUGCAAAAUUCUCCCUUUUAGCUUACUCGAUCAAUUUACAGAAUACAACGCAUGACUGCCUAAGCAUCUUUCUGCAAUACAGAUAGUUUAUGGCCAGUUUCAAUUUAAGAGACAUAUACUGAAUGUGUCAUGCAAACAGUAGUGCAAUUUUGUUAGGAUUUCUGAAAUAAGAGUUUAAAAUAUUCCUAUAUCAUAUGUGUGGUGUUCAGAAUCUACUAAUUGUGUUUUUGUACUUCAGGAUGGCAUAUUAAGAAAUACUAAUUUUUGGCCUGGAAGAUGUUGAGUACAUAGUCACUGACAAUUGUUAACUAUUGAAAGAGGGGCUUGUUUGAAUAGUGCCGCAAUUCUACAAUAAAACAGAAUUUUAGUUAAAAGCCUAUUUUGGAAUAAAUAAAUAGUGCUAAUAUACACAAGAUAAAAGAAGGCAACACAGCAGUCAAAGCAAUCAAAGACAUUAGGAAGUUCAGUAAACUGGAAUGAGAUUCUUUGCUUACUAGGAAAAAAUCAUGAUAUGUCAAUAGGGUUUUACAGGCUAGUAUCUACAAAAAUUUUAAAGAGUAUUAGAAAUAAAAUUAGGAAAAUGAUACAGAACAGUUGUUUUGGGUGGAAAUUUUGCUGUUAGCCAAGGCAAACCCACCACACCUGUUAGUAAGUGGAAGGGAAGAUGUCAAUAACUGAUGCAGGCAUGGCAGAGGUAUUUCAUUAAAAUCUUCUGUGUAGAGAAAGAAAAGAAAUAAUAUGCAUAAUACUUCUUGAAGAUGUGGGGGUACUUUUCAAUCCAAUGGUAAUUUUGAGGAGGUUGUUGAAUGAUGUCUCUUAGAGAUUAACACCCAGACUUGCUGACUUAAGAUGACUUUUAUCAAUGAUAGAAAAGAGUUGCAUGAAAUUGUAUUUUUUUAUUCUCCAUACUUCGUGGAUUUGGGAAGUCUUACAAUUACUGUUUCAAGACAAACUUGGUGGUAUGGACUGUAAAAAUCCUGUUAGCAUAAUGUCUACCUCAGACUCUAUAUUAGGCAAAUGAUGUAGAUUUAAUUUAUAAGGAAUUGAUACAUUUACAUAAAAGUAAAUGCUAGUAGAUAUGAAUUUUGAAGAAUGUCAAAAUAGGUGUUACUGAUUAAGCACUUCAAUAUCUGUGAAGAUAUAAUAGACCUUGUAAUAUUGUGGUUGCCUGAAGAUGUAGCACUCAUUGGAUUUGUCACUGUACCUUUAG
ensembl:lncRNA